rnacentral:rRNA from 1 species
AGGAUGAACGCUGGCGGUGUGCCUAAUACAUGCAAGUCGAACGAGACCUUCGGGUCUAGUGGCGGACGGGUGAGUAACACGUUGGUACCUACCCCUAAGUGGGGAAUAACUGCCCGAAAGGGUGGCUAAUACCGCAUAAUCCCGCAAGGGUAAAGCAGUAAUGCGCUUAGGGAGGGGCCUGCGUCCCAUUAGCUUGUUGGUAGUGUAAUGGACUACCAAGGCGACGAUGGGUAGCUGGAUCGAGAGGUUGACCAGCCACACUGGGACUGAGAUACGGCCCCAGACUCCUACGGGAGGCAGCAGUAAGGAAUCUUCCACAAUGGACGAAAGUCUGAUGGAGCAACACCGCGUGCAGGAUGACGGUCUUCGGAUUGUAAACUGCUUUUAUAUGGGAAGAUUAUGACGGUACCAUAUGAAUAAGGACCGGCUAACUACGUGCCAGCAGCCGC